rnacentral:rRNA from 1 species
AGGAUGAACGCUAGCGGGAGGCCUAACACAUGCAAGCCGAGCGGUAUAGUUCCUUCGGGGACUAGAGAGCGGCGUACGGGUGCGUAACACGUGUGCAACCUACCUUUAUCUGGGGGGAUAGCCUUUCGAAAGGAAGAUUAAUACCCCAUAACAUACUGAAUGGCAUCAUUCGGUAUUGAAAACUCCGGUGGAUAGAGAUGGGCACGCGCAAGAUUAGAUAGUGGUGGGUAACGCCCACCAAGUCAGUGAUC